rnacentral:miRNA from 1 species
UGAAUGGAGAUACGGAAUGAAGC